UACGUAGGGUGCGAGCGUUGUCCGGAAUUAUUGGGCGUAAAGAGCUUGUAGGCGGUUGUCGCGUCUGCCGUGAAAAUCCGGGGCUCAACCCCGGACUUGCGGUGGGUACGGGCAGAACUAGAGUGUGGUAGGGGAGACUGGAAUUCCUGGUGUAGCGGUGAAAUGCGCAGAUAUCAGGAGGAACACCGAUGGCGAAGGCAGGUCUCUGGGCCACUACUGACGCUGAGAAGCGAAAGCGUGGGGAGCGAACAGG
rnacentral:rRNA from 1 species